UCCGAAGGGGGCUAGCGUUGUUCGGAAUUACUGGGCGUAAAGGGCGCGUAGGCGGACUGAUAAGUCAGGGGUGAAAUCCCGGGGCUCCACCUCGGAAUUGCCUUUGAGACUGUCGGUCUUGAGGACGGGAGAGGGUCGUGGAAUUCCCAGUGUAGAGGUGAAAUUCGUAGAUAUUGGGAAGAACACCGGUGGCGAAGGCGGCGACCUGGACCGUAUCUGACGCUGAGGCGCGAAAGCGUGGGGAGAAAAUAGG
rnacentral:rRNA from 1 species